rnacentral:rRNA from 1 species
GAUGAACGCUGGCGGCGUGCCUAAUACAUGCAAGUCGAGCGAACAGAUGAGGAGCUUGCUCCUCUGACGUUAGCGGCGGACGGGUGAGUAACACGUGGAUAACCUACCUAUAAGACUGGGAUAACUUCGGGAAACCGGAGCUAAUACCGUAUAAUAUAUUGAACCGCAUGGUUCAAUAGUGAAAGACGGUUUUGCUGUCACUUAUAGAUGGAUCCGCGCCGCAUUAGCUAGUUGGUAAGGUAACGGCUUACCAAGGCAACGAUGCGUAGCCGACCUGAGAGGGUGAUAGGCCACACGGGAGCGUAGCCGCGGUCCAGACGCCUGCGGGAGGCCGCAGUAGGGUAUCUGCCGCAAUGGGCGAAAGCCUGACGGAGCAACGCCGAGUGAGUGAUGAAGGUCUUCGGAGCGUAAUACUCUGUUAUUAGGGAAGAACAAAUGUGUAAGUAACUAUGCACGUCUUGACGGUACCUAAUCAGAAAGCCACGGCUAACUACGUG